rnacentral:rRNA from 1 species
UACAGGGGGUGCAAACGUUGCUCGGAAUUAUUGGGCGUAAAGCGCGCGUAGGCGGCUACUUAAGUCGGAUGUGAAAGCCCUUGGCUCAACUGAGGAAGUGCACCCGAAACUGAGUGGCUUGAGUACUAAAGAGGGUCGCGGAAUUCCCGGUGUAGAGGUGAAAUUCGUAGAUAUCGGGAGGAACACCGGUGGCGAAGGCGGCGACCUGGGUAGAUACUGACGCUGAGACGCGAAAGCGUGGGGAGCGAACAGG